AAUAUAUAAAAUCAUUACUAAUAAUCAUUGCUUAAUAAAUAUAGAUAUUAACUUAUUUCUAAAUAGAAAACCCCCAUAUGUAUUAUAUAGACUUAUUAAUAAUAAUAAAUCGUAAUAUAAUAAUAAUGCAAGAAUAUAGAUUUUGGGGGAUGGUGAAGUUUUAAUAUAAAGAUAUAUUCUUGGUUGAAAUUAACAGCUAGGCCCGUGGUGCUCGGGUGGUCAUAUGACGAGUGUUUGGAGUUUGAGGUUGCGAGUUCGAAUCUGUUUAGCAGCGAAUUGCUUGAAUAAAAUAAUUUUUUUCAAUUUUUUAAUACCAGCCGUGACAAGCUGUACCGGCCGGUUUUUUUUUUCAAUUUUUUAAUACUAGCCGUGACAAGUUAUACAGGCCGGUUAUUUUUUUCAAUUUUUUAAUACCAGCCGUAUCAGCCUGUACCGGUCUGAUUAUUUUAUUUUUUUAAUGCCAGCCGUAUCAGCCUGUACCGGCCGAGAGAAAUAAAUAAAAAAUAAAAAAACAAUGUGUGAGCCGGUAGAACCUGUACCGGCCGAAUUAUUUUAUUAUUUUAAUGCCAGCCGUAUCAGCCUGUACCGGCC
rnacentral:lncRNA from 1 species